rnacentral:rRNA from 1 species
CCUACGGGAGGCAGCAGUGAGGAAUAUUGGUCAAUGGGCUUACGCCUGAACCAGCCAAGUCGCGUGAGGGAAGACUGCCCUAUGGGUUGUAAACCUCUUUUGUCAGGGAGCAACGCCGGCUACGUGUAGCCGGACUGAGAGUACCUGAAGAAAAAGCAUCGGCUACCUCCGUGCCAGCAGCCGCGGUAAUACGGAGGCUGCGAGCGUUAUCCGGAUUUAUUGGGUUUAAGGGUUGCGUAGGCGGAAUGCCAAGUCAGCGGGAAAAUCGCGGGGCUCAACCUCGCUCCGCCGUUGCAACUGGCGUUCUUGAGUGGGCGUGAAGUAUGCGGAAUGCGUGGUGUAGCGGUGAAAUGCAUAGAUAUCACGCAGAACUCCGAUUGCGAAGGCAGCAUACCGGCGCCCAACUGACGCUGAAGCACGAAAGCGUGGGUAUCGAACAGGAUUAGAUACCCGGGUAGUC